rnacentral:lncRNA from 1 species
UAAAAACACAGUAUCAGAAGUGAAGCUCCUCCAAGCUCUUCAGAGGGAUUUCCUCGAUUGGGAUACGGACAAAAGGUGACUGUGAUGGCUGGUUAGCACUGGCUGGUACCAACCAAGAUAUCCUGUACACAGCAUCGCUUAGUAGACAUGUGAUAAAACCACCUGCAGCAGCGGCAUGUCCAACCUUUGAAAUCUCUGACUUUCCUGAGAGAAUUACCACCCAAGGCAUAAGGUAUCUUGAAGGUUAUUUCAGACUGCAAUCAAGGUCUUUGUCUACAUGAGCCAGUGGCAGUAGGAAAAUACUGUGGUUAAUAAAAGUGUUUUCUUGAUG